AAAAACACGUUGAUAAGAAAAGUAAUUAUCGUAUCUUCUACAGAGAGUUCUUGGUUGGUGGAAAAGAAUGAAGCAACGUUAACGAAAAUCACUUUGAGUGCCGAGAUGAACCAAUAGUAAUCAUCGGUGGGAGUAGCCCAUUAUAGCUACCAUGUUUAAUACAAGCGUAUUGAACAUUGAGGUUAGUAGUGUGAGCUAUUAAUGAACACAGGGUGGUAACACGCAUAAGCGUCCCUCAA
rnacentral:ncRNA from 1 species